CCUACGGGAGGCAGCAGUGGGGGAUAUUGCACAAUGGGGGAAACCCUGAUGCAGCGACGCCGCGUGUAGGAAGACGGUCCUCUGGAUUGUAAACUACUGUCCCCAGGGACGAAGAUGACGGUACCUGGGGAGGAAGCUCCGGCUAACUACGUGCCAGCAGCCGCGGUAAUACGUAGGGAGCGAGCGGUGUCCGGAAUUACUGGGUGUAAAGGGAGAGUAGGCGGGGAUGCAAGUUGGGUGUUAAAUCUACCGGCUCAACUGGUAGUCGCACUCGAAACGACAGCUCUUGAGUGAAGUAGAGGCAGGCGGAAUUCCUAGUGUAGCGGUGAAAUGCGUAGAUAUUAGGAGGAACACCAGUGGCGAAGGCGGCCUGCUGGGCUUUUACUGACGCUGAGGCUCGAAAGUGUGGGGAGCAAACAGGAUUAGAUACCCGAGUAGUC
rnacentral:rRNA from 1 species